rnacentral:rRNA from 1 species
GUGUCAGCAGCCGCGGUAAAACGUAGGACACGAGCGUUAUCCGGAGUUACUGGGCGUAAAGGGCGGGUAGGUGGUGCGAUAAGACUGGUGUGAAAGCCUUCGGCUUAACCGAGGGAGGACACUGGUGACUGUCGGACUUGAGGCAGAUAGAGGGGUGUAGAAUUCCGGGUGUAGUGGUGAAAUGCGUAGAGAUCCGGAGGAAUACCAGAGGCGAAGGCGGCACCCUGGGUCUGACCUGACACUGAUCCGCGACAGCAUGGGGAGCGAACGGGAUUAGAAACCCCAGUAGUCC